rnacentral:lncRNA from 1 species
ACUGAGCUCAAGCCUUCACAUUGGGCCUGACACUCCCCACCCCUGUCAUCCCCCAGAGGCACAGCCUUGACCCACAGGGAGGUUCCGGAAGAAAAUUCUUCCUCCGCUUUCGUCCAGAAUUGAGGAAUGUUUACUAAUUUUUCCUUCCUAUUUGCCUGGAAAUGACACUAAAAACAAGAAAAAAAAAAAAGGACUCCCUGUCCCCGUGCAAAACACCCACACCCUCUGAACUCUUCACCCUGCCGCCGUCUGACUUCACCCCAGGAUGGCGAGGCACUGGUGCCAAGAAGCAGUCAAAACCCCCCAUCAGCCAAUGGCAGCACUUCUUGGAUGAGUUUCCUGAAGAGCUUAAUCAUGAACAAAUUGCUGUCACUUCGCCUGCAGCUGACAAGCCCAGGAGAGUUUCAGGACCAGGCCUUCCCUGGGGAGAACACAGGAUUGAAACUUUCCCCUUGGGGGCUGCUGCAAGACCACCCAAGGGCCAGCAAAGGAGCCAGUGACUGGUGAGCCACAGCCCACAAGGUAUGCAGGGUCACAUUAUACAGAAAUAGCAAAAGGGACAAGUUCCAAGUGGGAAAUGGCAGAUAAUGGGACAAGAUCUUGAGUCAGCAGAACCUUUAUAUCAAAAUCAAUUUAAGUAUGGGAGUUCCCUGGUGGUCUAGUGGUUAGAAUGCAUUGCUUUCACUGCUGCCCGGUUCAACCUCUGGUCUGGGAACUGAGAUCCCACGUCAAGCCACUGCACAGUGUGGCCAAAAAAUAAACUAAAAUUUAAGGCUAAUCUUUCA